rnacentral:rRNA from 1 species
CGAGUCAUUGUAGCAAUACAGGCAUACGGCUCAGUAACGCGUAGUCCACCUAACCUAUGGACGGGAAUAACCUCGGGAAACUGAGAAUAAUGCCCGAUAGAACAUUAUGCCUGGAAUGGUUUAUGUUCCAAAUGAUUUAUCGCCGUAGGAUGGGACUGCGGCCUAUCAGUUUGUUGGUGAGGUAAUGGCCCACCAAGACUAUUACAGGUACGGGCUCUGAGAGGAGUAGCCCGGAGAUGGGUACUGAGACACGGACCCAGGCCCUAUGGGGCGCAGCAGGCGAGAAAACUUUGCAAUGUGCGAAAGCACGACAAGGUUAAUCCGAGUGGUUUCUGCUAAAGAAACCUUUUGUCAGUCCUAGAAACACUGAUGAAUAAGGGGUGGGCAAGUUCUGGUGUCAGCCGCCGCGGUAAAACCAGCACCUCAAGUGGUCAGGAUGAUUAUUGGGCCUAAAGCAUCCGUAGCCGGCUCUGUAAGUUUUCGGUUAAAUCUGUACGCUCAACGUACAGGCUGCCGGGAAUACUGCAGAGCUAGGGAGUGGGAGAGGUAGACGGUACUCGGUAGGAAGGGGUAAAAUCCUUUGAUCUAUUGAUGACCACCUGUGGCGAAGGCGGUCUACCAGAACACGUCCGGCGGUGAGGGAUGAAAGCUGGGGG